GAUAAUGUGGAACUACUAACCAAUAAUUUUUUUACAUGCGUUCAAUUAAUUUUUAAUAAUUAAAAGUCAAACAAUUUCCUCCCUUUCUCACUCUUUACACUAGUUUCAAAAAUUCUUCUUCCCUCUUCCAAAUUCCAAGAAAAUUUAAUUUAUUAGAAAUUAUAAAAAUAAUAAAUUGAAUAAAGUGCCUACAAAGAGCCUGAUUUCAUCCUCUUUCUUCCCCUUGACAACUCCAUUUCCCCUGCAAAAAAAUGCAACAAAUUUUCUUCCCAUUUACAACUCCAUUCCCCUGCAAAAAAAAUGCAACAAAUUUUCUAAUUAAGCAAGUGACAUGAUUUUCUAGGGAAAUGGAUUUGUGAAUGGGAAGCAAAAGGAGCAUCAAAACAAGAUUAUUUUUAAAUUUGCAAAGUUAAUUAAGGUUGGGUGUUAUCAUACUUCAAACAUUUGCAGAAGCAGCUAAGUACCAUUCACUAAUUUUUUCUUUUGCCCACCACCUGUUUGUUUAAUGUAUUGUGAAACCAGUUAAGAUAUUGAUACUAGAUAUAUAUAUAUAUAUAUAUUUGUAAUUGUAUGAUUCAUUGUUUCUUGAUGGACAAACAUGUGUCAGGAUUAUAUAGAUUACUUGUAGAUUCCGAAAUUAUUGCAAGUAAAAUAUGUAUGUUUCCUUUGGUAAACAUGCCCUCAUGAAUGGAAUUCUGUUUUGAAUUUUCAAUAAAAUUGUAGGGAAACCACUUGAAAGAGAAUCAUUUAUAAUCAAUUUCAGUAAAAAAAAAAACCAAAUGUUCAAUAAUUUAAAAGGCCAUAAAAUAGUUUUUCACUGUUGCUCAAUAUUGUUCCGCAUGUAUCAAAAUAUCUUCUUCUUUUUUUCAUUAAAUAACAAAAUGACAACACUAGUGCUAAAAAUAAACUAUAAAUUGAAAACUCACAAGUUUAUGAGUUAAAUAGAAUUUAAACAACAAUAUUUUUUGAAUAAAUUUGAGAAGCUAAAAAAAAAAAAAGUAUCUAACAAUAAACAGUACACUAUUCUCAAGUGAACUAAGAUUCUUGUACCAAUAGCAAGGAUUAUUUGCAGGGAAGUUGAGAAGUCUUUCAAAUCGGAUGUUGUGACAUUUCUAAUUAAGCUAGUGGCAAUGUUUUGCAGAAGAAUGGAGAUGCGAAUGGGAAUCAGGAGGAGCAUCAAAGCAAGAUUACCAAAGGCAUGUUUUUGCAGGGCAAUGAAGUUGUAAAUGGAAAGGAGGAGGAGGAUGAAAUUAGGCCCUCUGUAGGCACUUUGUUCAAUUUAUUAUUUUUAUAAUUUCUAAAUAAAUUAAUGUUUCUUGAAAUUUGAAAGAGGGAAGAAGAAUUUUUGAAACUAGAGCAAAGACAAAGAAAAGGAGGGAAUUGUUUGACUUUUUAAAGUUUGAAAAUUGAUUGACACAUGUAAACAAAUUAUUAGUCAACGGCUCCACAUUAUCGGA
rnacentral:lncRNA from 1 species